UACGUAGGGUGCAAGCGUUGUCCGGAAUUAUUGGGCGUAAAGAGCUCGUAGGCGGUUUGUCGCGUCGAAUGUGAAAACCCGGGGCUCAACCCCGGGCCGCAUUCGAUACGGGCAGACUAGAGUUCGGUAGGGGAGUCUGGAAUUCCUGGUGUAGCGGUGAAAUGCGCAGAUAUCAGGAGGAACACCGGUGGCGAAGGCGGCCAACGUGGGCCGGACCUGACG
rnacentral:rRNA from 1 species